rnacentral:lncRNA from 1 species
AGUGGUGCUCCCCAUAUUUCAUAUGCAAAGAUGCUUCCCAACAGACUCUCCUUCUCCACAGUUUUGUUUAUCUAGCUCAUCCAAAUGCUUUCACAUUCCUAGAGUGAAAUAUUCUUCUUUCAGUCCCUGUUCCUCUUUCAAGAUCUUCCACUUCUACAUUACUUUACUUUUAUCAUUUUUCUCCAUUUCUUUUUUUCUAGAAAUCAGCAUUAAAGCAUGUAACGUGAUGGGAGCUCAUUUUGUCAAGUGGAAUACAAACAUGGCAGAAAAGGAAAACCUUCUCUGAACACUGAUUACUGCGCUGCAUUUUUGAACAUAUUAAUCCAGAAUAAAAGAGCUCUUCUGCCAAGAAGCA